rnacentral:rRNA from 1 species
CGCUGGCGGCGUGCUUAACACAUGCAAGUCGAACGAUGAAGCCCUUCGGGGUGGAUUAGUGGCGAACGGGUGAGUAACACGUGGGCAAUCUGCCCUUCACUCUGGGACAAGCCCUGGAAACGGGGUCUAAUACCGGAUAACACUCCUGCCUGCAUGGGUGGGGGUUAAAAGCUCCGGCGGUGAAGGAUGAGCCCGCGGCCUAUCAGCUUGUUGGUGAGGUAGUGGCUCACCAAGGCGACGACGGGUAGCCGGCCUGAGAGGGCGACCGGCCACACUGGGACUGAGACACGGCCCAGACUCCUACGGGAGGCAGCAGUGGGGAAUAUUGCACAAUGGGCGAAAGCCUGAUGCAGCGACGCCGCGUGAGGGAUGACGGCCUUCGGGUUGUAAACCUCUUUCAGCAGGGAAGAAGCGAAAGUGACGGUACCUGCAGAAGAAGCGCCGGCU